rnacentral:rRNA from 1 species
GACGAACGCUGGCGGCGUGCCUAAUACAUGCAAGUUGAGCGCUGAAGGUUGGUACUUGUACCAACUGGAUGAGCAGCGAACGGGUGAGUAACGCGUGGGGAAUCUGCCUUUGAGCGGGGGACAACAUUUGGAAACGAAUGCUAAUACCGCAUAAAAACUUUAAACACAAGUUUUAAGUUUGAAAGAUGCAAUUGCAUCACUCAAAGAUGAUCCCGCGUUGUAUUAGCUAGUUGGUGAGGUAAAGGCUCACCAAGGCGAUGAUACAUAGCCGACCUGAGAGGGUGAUCGGCCACAUUGGGACUGAGACACGGCCCAAACGCCUACGGGAGGCAGCAGUAGGGAAUCUUCGGCAAGGGAAGAAAGUCUGACCGAGCAACGCCGCGGGAGUGAAGAAGGUUUUCGGAUCGUAAAACUCUGUUGGUAGAGAAGAACGUUGGUGAGAGUGGAAAGCUCAUCAAGUGACGGUAACUACCCAGAAAGGGACGGCUAACUACGUG